rnacentral:rRNA from 1 species
GAUGAACGCUGGCGGCGUGCCUAAUACAUGCAAGUCGAGCGAACGGACGAGAAGCUUGCUUCUCUGAUGUUAGCGGCGGACGGGUGAGUAACACGUGGAUAACCUACCUAUAAGACUGGGAUAACUUCGGGAAACCGGAGCUAAUACCGGAUGAUAUUUUGAACCGCAUGGUUCAAAAGUGAAAGACGGUCUUGCUGUCACUUAUAGAUGGAUCCGCGCUGCAUUAGCUAGUUGGUAAGGUAACGGCUUACCAAGGCAACGAUGCAUAGCCGACCUGAGAGGGUGAUCGGCCACACUGGAACUGAGACACGGUCCAGACUCCUACGGGAGGCAGCAGUAGGGAAUCUUCCGCAAUGGGCGAAAGCCUGACGGAGCAACGCCGCGUGAGUGAAGAAGGUCUUCGGAUCGUAAAACUCUGUUAUUAGGGAAGAACAUAUGUGUAAGUAACUGUGCACGUCUUGACGGUACCUAAUCAGAAAGCCACGGCUAACUACGUG